CCACCGUGACGACCGUGACGUCAUGAACGGUCAUGAAAGCAAUACUGCUGCCACAAUAUUGGAGGCAAGUUUAUUGAUACAAAAUGGCUACCGCCAGUACUCUCCGCCCUGUCGGAUGUGACACCAAUUUGCCUCAUGGAAAGCUAUCAACACCUCCAAUUUCAGAGAAGAGCCUAGAAAUUAUCUACACAGACUACACAGCAUCUAUGCCAGAAGACAGGAAUCUUCAAAUCCACUGCCAUGAAGACCAUAUAUUUCACAAUUUCAGAUAGGUUAUUAAUAUUAAGUGUUUCUGAAAUCUAUUCAAUAAAAUAGCAGACAAGCUCUGUGUGGGAAGACAACUGAAAAAUGUAUCCCAUUAUGCAAUUGGUUUUCUUUUCCAUUGAACACCUUAUCUUUUAGGGUCAGUUUUUCAUAACUCUUUAAGAAAAGACAGCAUGUCCUAUUCCAUCGCAAUCGCCUCACAAUUGUUGGCAUCUUCACAUGUUUCUGAACUGGAAUGAUGAUAUACAAAUGUCGACUAAAAAUUUUAUUUCCUGCGACUACUACA